UGCAGAGAGUGCGAGCGUUAAUCGGAAUUAUUGGGCGUAAAGCGUACGUAGGUUGAUGCUUAAGUCAGAUGUGAAAGCCCCGAGCUUAACUUGGGAAUUGCAUUUGAUACUGGGCGUCUAGAGUAUAGUAGAGGGAAGUGGAAUUUCUGGUGUAGCGGUGAAAUGCGUAGAUAUCAGAAGGAACAUCAGUGGCGAAAGCGGCUUCCUGGACUAAUACUGACACUUAGGUACGAAAGCGUGGGGAGCAAACAGG
rnacentral:rRNA from 1 species